CACGUAGGGCGCAAGCGUUGUCCGGAAUUAUUGGGCGUAAAGAGCUCGUAGGCGGCUCGUUGCGUCGGCUGUGAAAACCCGCAGCUCAACUGUGGGCUUGCAGCUGAUACGGGCGGGCUGGAGUUCGGUAGGGGAGACUGGAAUUCCUGGUGUAGCGGUGAAAUGCGUAGAUAUCCGGAGGAACACCGGUGGCGAAGGCGGCUUCCUGGACCGACACUGACGCUGAGGCGCGAAAGCUAGGGGAGCAAACGGG
rnacentral:rRNA from 1 species